GUGUCAGCAGCCGCGGUAAUACAGAGGGUGCGAACGUUGCUCGGAAUUACUGGGCGUAAAGCGCGUGUAGGCGGAUCCAUAAGUCGGGCGUGAAAUCCCCAGGCUCAACCUGGGAACUGCGCUCGAAACUGUGGGUCUUGAGUGUCGGAGAGGAUGGCGGAAUUCCUGGUGUAGAGGUGAAAUUCGUAGAUAUCAGGAGGAACACCGGUGGCGAAGGCGGCCAUCUGGACGACAACUGACGCUGAGACGCGAAAGCGUGGGGAGCAAACAGGAUUAGAAACCCUAGUAGUCC
rnacentral:rRNA from 1 species